AUUGAACGCUGGCGGCAGGCUUAACACAUGCAAGUCGAACGAGUGGCGGACGGGUGAGUAAUGCUUGGGAAUCUAGCUUAUGGAGGGGGAUAACUACGGGAAACUGUACCUAAUACCGCGUACCAUAGGAUGAGCCCAAGUGGGAUUAGGUAGUUGGUGAGGUAAAGGCUCACCAAGCCGACGAUCUAUAGCUGGUCUGAGAGGAUGACCAUCCACACUGGGACUGAGACACGGCCCAGACUCGUACGGGAGGCAGCAGUGGGGAAUAUUGCGCAAUGGGGGCAACCUGACGCAGCCAUGCCGCGGGAAUGAAGAAGGCCUUCGGGUUGUAAAGUUCUUUCGGUAGCGAGGCGUUAACUACAGAAGAAGCACCGGCUGACUCCGUGCCAGCAGCCGCGGUAAUUC
rnacentral:rRNA from 1 species